AACCAUAGAAACCUGCGGAGUACCUGCGGAGGGAUCAUUACUGAGUUAUCAAAACUCCAAACCAAUGUGAAUCUUACCACUGUUGCUUCGGCUGCCGCUCUAGUCGGAGGUGUUUCUACUCCUCCGCGCUUGAGCAAUGAGUGCAGCCGAAGGCAUUUUACUAUCAGUUAUAUUGUAUUUUUUCUGAGUCGGUUUUACAAAUAAAUCAAAACUUUUAACAAUGGAUCUCAGAUCGGAAGA
rnacentral:misc_RNA from 1 species